rnacentral:rRNA from 1 species
UACGUAGGUGGCAAGCGUUGUUCGGAAUUAUUGGGCGUAAAGGGCGCGUAGGCGGUUGGUUAAGUCAGCUGUGAAAGCCCGGGGCUCAACCCCGGAGGGUCGGCUGAUACUGAUUGACUAGAGUACGGAAGAGGUAGCUGGAAUUCCCGGUGUAGCGGUGAAAUGCAUAGAUAUCGUCCAGAACACCGAUAGUGAAGACAGCUUACCAGAGUGCAACUGACGCUGAGGCACGAAAGUGUGGGGAUCAAACAGG